GCACAAGAUCCCCUGGGUGUCGCCUGCACACCGCCCCCGAGGCCGCCCUUGUUUGAGUCCACCUCUCCUUGGCUGUGCAGCGUCCGCCAGCCAUGCUGACCCCUGAAGCCUUGGCUGUGCCUCCCAAGUGCACCGGGUUUCCCUGCAGACACACGCUUUGGCAUGAACAUGCCUUCUUAGGCAUGAACAAGAAGUUCACGUGGCUGCCACACCCAAGUGCCUUGCAUUUCGCCUGCUCCCCGCACCCCCCCCAACCAUGUUGCCACACGAGGCUUAUUCUGAAUUACAGGUUGGUUGUGAUAUCACCUCUGGUACAUGGACUGUUAAAACUAUUGAAAGGGAGGUGGAUCUGAAGCACGCCUACCUGUUUCCUGGCAUACUUGGAACGUUGCCAGACCACUGGAUACUUAGAAGGCUAAUUCUACAUUUAUCCUCAGCCAUCAUUCUGAGCGCCUUCAAAAGAUGAAUCAUCUGCACCGACUAUUAAAUUUAAUAACCAUGCACUUCUCCAGGGAAAUUGCCUCAAAGGGACCCACAACUGGCCACGAUUCAUGGUUGAGGAAACACCUCUUCCAGUUUCAGGUGAAGGGGCUCAGGUUCAUCCUCCGCUCAACUCAACGUGCGGUCGGCCUUGGGUCCCCAGGCCGGAACUGGCCUGAGACACGGAAACUCCCACAGCUUCUGCACCCGACCACUGAGGCCUGCUUCUGCCUGAGCUGCAGCAGCCAUGUUCCAAAUGUGUGGUUUGUGGUGAAAUUUCACUGGGAAAUCAGAAAAGAUCACAAAGCGACCUCGGCUCAGGGAUUUCUGUGGACAUCUGUUUCCCACGCAGGCCUUGUCUG
rnacentral:lncRNA from 1 species